rnacentral:rRNA from 1 species
AUACGGAGGGUGCAAGCGUUACUCGGAAUCACUGGGCGUAAAGCGCGCGCAGGCGGCUAUUUAAGUUGGAUGUGAAAGCCUACGGCUCAACCGUAGAACUGCAUCCAAAACUAUUUAGCUAGAGUGUGGGAGAGGAAGAUGGAAUUAGUUGUGUAGGGGUAAAAUCCGUAGAGAUAACUAGGAAUACUAAAAGCGAAGGCAAUCUUCUGGAACACUACUGACGCUGAGGCGCGAAAGCGUGGGGAGCAAACAGGAUUAGAUACCCUAGUAGUCC